UACGUAGGGGGCGAGCGUUGUCCGGAAUGAUUGGGCGUAAAGGGCGCGUAGGCGGCCUGCUAAGUCUGGAGUGAAAGUCCUGCUUUCAAGGUGGGAAUUGCUUUGGAUACUGGGAGGCUGGAGUGCAGGAGAGGAAAGCGGAAUUACCGGUGUAGCGGUGAAAUGCGUAGAGAUCGGUAGGAACACCAGUGGCGAAGGCGGCUUUCUGGACUGAAACUGACGCUGAGGCGCGAAAGCGUGGGGAGCAA
rnacentral:rRNA from 1 species